CUCCAGUUGAUCGCAUGGUCUUCUGGGAAAGCUUUCGCGGUAUGGGAUGGGGUCGCGUCCUAUCAGCUUGACGGCGGGGUAACGGCCCACCGUGGCUUCGACGGGUAGCCGGCCUGAGAGGGCGACCGGCCACAUUGGGACUGAGAUACGGCCCAGACUCCUACGGGAGGCAGCAGUGGGGAAUAUUGCACAAUGGGCGCAAGCCUGAUGCAGCGACGCCGCGUGAGGGAUGGAGGCCUUCGGGUUGUAAACCUCUUUUAUCGGGGAGCAAGCGAGAGUGAGUUUACCCGUUGAAUAAGCACCGGCUAACUACGUGCCAGCAGCCGCGGUAAUACGUAGGGUGCAAGCGUUAUCCGGAAUUAUUGGGCGUAAAGGGCUCGUAGGCGGUUCGUCGCGCCCGGUGUGAAAGUCCAUCGCUUAACGGUGGAUCCGCGCCGGGUACGGGCG
rnacentral:rRNA from 1 species